ensembl:lncRNA
AGAGCUAAAAGAUCUGACUUUGAUCAUCCACAGCAGCCAGGCUCCCUCCCUACCGCUCAGCUCCGAUGCACUGCUGGUGGGAGGGGAGGUGCUUUGCCUGGCCGCCCCCUUCUCUGGGGAUCCUGUCUCGGUCGCUUCCCCCACUCCUGUUCCCGGGCUUGUAUCAACCCCACCCAGUGGCUACUGCUGUCUGUGCCCGAGGACCUCAUCUCCUCGCAGAGGCUGGCUCCCCGCAUCCCGCAUCCCACACGGGGACACGCCUGUGGCCUUGCCAGGGUGGGCGGGACACGGCCUCUUUCCUUCCUUCCCAUCCAGCGCCGGUGAGGCUCAGCACUCACUGUCUCACUGGCAGCACAAAGCCUUGGGGGCUCCACGGGAUAAUUAAUAGCGAGGACGCCCCCAGGGACCUCCGGAAAGAGACACCAUUGGUGGCAGGCCUCCAGGUUCUCGUCUGCCUGCUAUUGAAUUUUGUGGCGGUGAUUUCUUCAGAAACUGCCUCUUCCCACCCCCACUCCACCCACAGAGAGGAUGAGCUACAUCCGUACAGAGCCUGGCACUCCGGAUGCUGGCGGAAUUGAUUCAGUAGCAUGAGCAGGAAGGUCCAUUUGAAGAGAUCACUCCAAAACAGCGGUUCGCAACAAGGUGGGAGUGGAAGGGAAUGUUCUCCUGGGAGUGGGUGGGGGUGGGGUGUCAGCGUGUGGACCUGGUACAGCAGCGUUUGAAAAUACCUCCAGUAUUCUAAUAUAAUUUAAAAUAAUAAUUAGCCGGGUGUGGUGACUCGUGCCUGUAAUCCCAGCUACUAGGGAGGCUGAGGUGGGAGGAUUCCUUGAGCCCUGGAGUUCAAGACCAGCCUGGACAGCAUAGCAAACCCCUGUCUCACAUAAAUAAUAAUAAUAAUAAUAAUGAUUAUUAUUCAAUGUUUUUGUCAUUCAAACCACAGGUAGUAAAGCUUGACAGAAUUGUUGUGGGUGGGAUGUGAGCUAAAAAUAUUGAGAACCAGGACCUAGCAGAUUGUCUGCUGUAAGUUCCCUGGCUGUGGAGGAUGGAGUCUCCCCUGAAGAGUAGUGUUGGUCCUUGGGACAGUGGCCGCAGUCCAGCCCAUCACAGAAAGGAAUGGUGCUCCCUGGGGCUGGAAACCGGUGUCUGGAGUUGGGGGAGGUGGGGAGGAACUUGGAGAUUCGGCUCACUGUCAGUCUUGUUAAGGAGGCCAGUGUCUAAAGUGGGAACCACACCAGGUAAGCUGUAUUCUAAUCUGCUCCUUGUUUUCUUGGCAGAAUGGUUCAUGCAGGACAGAAAAAGGAGAGACAAAGGACUGUCAGGAGAGUGACUGGUCCAAAUGAGGACUCAGGAACCCCCAGUGGAUCCAGAGAGAAAAACACUCUGGGUAGGAAGGGCAUGGGAAGUGAUUACUAUGCACUUGUGCUGGAGCAAAAUGACACCAGGGGAGGUUGACCAGCACCCUCUGGGUUCAUUCUUUUUAUAAGGAAGACUUCUGGUCUCUUACUCUGUUCCUUGAAUGGAUUUACAUCCCAGAAAGAUGUGUGCUCUGUGCAAAUGAAGGGGUACUCUUCCACUGUAAAGAAUGCAUUGGCUUUCUGGACUGGGGGGCCGGCUGGUACAAGUGUUUCCCAGGAGAGAGAAGUUUCUGAAAGGAUUUUUGGAGUUGCAGAGUCAAGGACCAGGCUGGGAGUCUUGGUGACCCCACCAAGCACAGAGGAUGCCAGGCGCCUGAUUGGAGAAGGCUGUGGGAGUCUUCUAGAACAAUCGUGCUAACUGCACACACCAUCUGCAUGAACCAAUACCAGGUUGUACUGGUAUUCAGCCAUCUUGUACUAUUUCCUCGGGGUGUCCCUAGAGUGUUUCGUUUUUGACUAGCAUUUCAGCAGCCUGCAGGUAGGGACAGCAUUUCAUACACAGUGUGCGCCUCCCAGGAGCCAGGUGCAGCUGGGGUGUGUGACUGUGAGGCUCCUUGCUGUCCAUGACAUAAUGUCACCCCCACUGCCUCAGCUUACUCCCCAGUCACCCCUUGAGGUAACAGGGCUGGUGCUUUUACAAUUCCCAUUUUAAAGAUGAGGAAACAGGCUGGGUGUGGUGGCUCACGCCUGCAAUCCCAGCACUUUGGGAGGCUGAGGCAGGUGGGUCAUUUGAGUUCAGGAGUUCGAGAUCAGCCUGACCAACACAAAAAAUUACCAGAGUGUGGUGGUGCAUGCCUGUCAUUUCAGCUACUUGGGAGGCUGAGGCCUGAGAAUUGCUUGAACCCAGAGGUGGACGUUGCAGUGAGCCGAGAUCGCACCACUGCACUCUAGCCUGGGUGACACAGCGAGACUCCAUCUCAAAAAAAAAAAAAAAAAAAAAAGAUGAGGAAACAGAGGUCAGUGAGUGCUGGCCUCAAGAGAACCUCAAAAUCCCACUCUGCCUAGCCCUGCCUGCCCUUGUCUUCAAUCCUUGAGGAACAGAAUGAUGCCAGGUGUGAGUUGUUCAGGUAUCCCCCCAAUAUCUCCUCCUACAUGGUGGGGAGGGUGACCACGGCAG